AUUGAACGCUGGCGGCAGGCCUAACACAUGCAAGUCGAGCGGAUGAAGAGAGCUUGCUCUCUGAUUCAGCGGCGGACGGGUGAGUAAUGCCUAGGAAUCUGCCUGGUAGUGGGGGACAACGUUUCGAAAGGAACGCUAAUACCGCAUACGUCCUACGGGAGAAAGCAGGGGACCUUCGGGCCUUGCGCUAUCAGAUGAGCCUAGGUCGGAUUAGCUAGUUGGUGAGGUAAUGGCUCACCAAGGCGACGAUCCGUAACUGGUCUGAGAGGAUGAUCAGUCACACUGGAACUGAGACACGGUCCAGACUCCUACGGGAGGCAGCAGUGGGGAAUAUUGGACAAUGGGCGCAAGCCUGAUCCAGCCAUGCCGCGUGUGUGAAGAAGGCCUUCGGGUUGUAAAGCACUUUCAGCGAGGAGGAAGAGUUGUGUGUUAAUAGUACACAGCCUUGACGUUACUCGCAGAAGAAGCACCGGCUAACUCUGUGCCAGCCGCCGCCGUAAUAC
rnacentral:rRNA from 1 species